ACUCUCAGGGAAACAAAAGGGCUGCUUUUGUUGUUGAUUUGUAUAUUUGUUCUAAUGUUUACUGACUCUGAAGCUGAGUGGAAGAAAUAUAGCCAGUUUUUACUAAGUUGCUAUUACUUUGGGUAGACGAGAUCUCUUGAAAUAAACCUGAAACCUCAGAGGGGAUUUUUUUGUUCUGAAACCUGAAUUUCCUGUGAACCACCCUCUGUAGCUGCCCAGACUGAUUCUGCCAUACAGAGACUAUACCCUAGGACUCUACAAAAGCUAACAUGAAAUAACAUCAGAGAAUUAGUUCCUCAAGAUGAACACAUACCAUUUUGCCAAGAGGACAGAAAAGGAUGAGAGCAUGGAUCUAACAAGGCAGCCUUGCAUUGCUACUCACAGAGUGGAACUAUUCUUGGAGCUACAAGGAGCUCCUUCAAACACAGAUUCUGUUGCUGUAUAAGGAAUCAAAGAUUGCGUCAGCCUCAUGACGAGGAACUGGACACCAGAGCGUACUUUAACCUACACCAUCUUUUGACUCUUUUUCAUCCAAGUUAAACCAGCUGAGACUCCCUUACACCUGCUUUGUCACAGGUCUUCACACAGAUGCAAGCAGCUCACUGGAAAAGUCACAGUUAAACCAAACUUUAAAACUGUCCAAGAACUGACUUCCUCGACAGCUCUGAUUCAGGCUCCCAAAAAUGCUCUGCACAGUGACUCAUGCUUCCUUCUGGAAAUGACAGAACUUCCUCAUCAUGCUGUUCUCCCUUGUCCUCUUCUCAUCUCCUGUCCAAUCAGGAAAGGAUUGAAUUUCAUGUUACAUUUUUUCCUGUGCUCGGCAGGGAGAUGCAUCCUUUUUGCAGGGGAAGAGCUUCUAUGAGUCAAGGGUUGACAAACUGAAAAUUAGUACCAGCCCUAGAAAUAAAUUACAAACAACAACUACAUAAAACCCGGAGCGGUGGACAGUGGGUGUAUAUUGGAUUGAUGUCCCUCUUGCAACUUGAGUUGCAGAACUGUCCUAAGAAGAACUUGCUUUCCAGGGCUGAAAUUAGUGGCAAAGUUAAAACUGUUGUCCCUUUCUUUUGUGUGAUUGGUUUUCUAGGGCUUGUAAGUUUUCUAUCAGGUAAGCUAAUGCUAUGUGUACAAGACAGGGAACCAUAGCAGCCAAUCCUAUUCAGAAAGAAGCUUGUAUUUACCAGAGAACUAUCCAUGAGGGGGAAAAGGACAGUGCCAAAAAUAUUUUGUUCCAGUGAAAUCUAUGCUGCCGACUGUUCCAUAACAGUUACAAUGACAGCAAUGCACAGAGACAUUUUGCUACAUAGAACUUAAAAAAAAAUGUCCUCUGAUUUACUGAACAACAUGUAUUUGGGAUAAAUAUCUUACCAUAUGGGGAGUGAUGACUUGCACUGGAAGGAGAAUUUUAAACAGCCCU